CGACAUUGUUCUCUAUAAAAAGAACCUCUUGGUCUGCCACAAUUCAGUUUCGAUUUGAAAAGCAGUAAAACUUUAUAUUUUUGUACAUUAGCUACCACAGGAGGCGUCCAACAUGAUCAAAAUCACAAUUCUGAUGAUGAUGUUUGGGAUGGCACUUGCUGGAGAUUUGUUGUUUGGAAAUGAUUUGUCGCUUCCAAUACGUUCCCUUGGAUUUUAUGGAUACCCAGUCCGAAAUUUUGCACAGCCCAUCUUUUCUUCUGGAUUCAGAGAUCUUUCUUCCGGAUUCAGGGACAUUUCUUCCGGAUACAGAGAUAUUUCUUCGGGAUCCUUUGGCUCAUUAGGAUUCUCAAGUCCUUUUAACAGAAUUCUUAUUUAAGACAAAUUCACUAAUAAAAGUUUGACAAAAACUGGCUGUAAGAAAACUGGCUGUUGCUUCUUUUAUUUCUGGCUUACAGAAAUAUCAUUGUAACUUUUGCAUUCUUUUAACAAAAUGAAAUAAAAUUUAACAUGCAACAA